CCUACGGGUGGCUGCAGUGGGGAAUAUUGGACAAUGGGGGGAACCCUGAUCCAGCCAUGCCGCGUGUGUGAAGAAGGCCCUCGGGUUGUAAAGCACUUUCAGUGAGGAAGAACGCCUGGUGGUUAAUACCCAUCAGGAAAGACAUCACUCACAGAAGAAGCACCGGCUAACUCCGUGCCAGCAGCCGCGGUAAUACGGAGGGUGCGAGCGUUAAUCGGAAUUACUGGGCGUAAAGCGCGCGUAGGUGGCUUGAUAAGCCGGUUGUGAAAGCCCCGGGCUCAACCUGGGAACGGCAUCCGGAACUGUCAAGCUAGAGUGCAGGAGAGGAAGGUAGAAUUCCCGGUGUAGCAGUGAAAUGCGUAGAGAUCGGGAGGAAUACCAGUGGCGAAGGCGGCCUUCUGGACUGACACUGACACUGAGGUGCGAAAGCGUGGGUAGCAAACAGGAUUAGAUACCCUAGUAGUC
rnacentral:rRNA from 1 species